UUCUCGCUUGAUAUUUUUUUCUUUUUCUUAUUCUUGUUGAAUUUCUUCAUAAAGUUGAGAGCACCAAGCACAUAUUUCCAUGUUUCAACCAUAGGAACUUUAAUCUCCAAUUUCUUGAAGAUCUCCAUAAAGCACUUGACUUUCUUUUCCUUCCUAUGAUAUUUUUUUGAAUGAAGAAGGGGUUUUUCAUAUGAUCUUUUCUUCUUUCCCUUAUUCCUCUUUUUCUCAAUUUUCUCCUUCCUCAACUUUCUUUUUUCUUUUUUUCUUUUUUUCUUCUUUUUUUCUUUUUUGCAACCACUGCUUCUUCUUCAUCUAUCUUCUCCUUAUCUAUUUCUAUUUUUUUUCAUCUAUCUUCUCUUCAGCAACAACCUUUUUUGUUUCUAUUUCUUCUAUCUUUUUCACCUAUCUCUCUACCUUCUCCUCAUCAACAACCUCAUCAAUUUGUGUCUCCAAAUUCCCGAAGGUAACUUCAUAGCUCUUGGAAUCGCACUUCUCCAGGAAUUUGUCGAACUUUUCAUUAAAG
rnacentral:lncRNA from 1 species